rnacentral:rRNA from 1 species
GGUUUAAUUCGAUGAUACGCGAGGAACCUUACCUGGGCUUAAAUGUAGAGUGCAUUGAGAGGAAACUUUCAUUUUCUUCGGUAACUCUUUACAAGGUGCUGCAUGGUUGUCGUCAGCUCGUGCCGUGAGGUGUCGGGUUAAGUCCCAUAACGAGCGCAACCCUUAUCGUUAGUUGCCAGCGGGUAAUGCCGGGAACUCUAGCGAAACUGCCGGUGUAAACCGAGAGGAAGGUGGGGAUGACGUCAAAUCAGCACGGCCCUUAUGUCCAGGGCUACACACGUGUUACAAUGGCCGGUACAGAGGGCAGCUACCUGGAGACAGGAUGCGAAUCUCGAAAGCCGGUCUCAGUUCGGAUCGGAGUCUGCAACCCGACUCCGUGAAGCUGGAUUCGCUAGUAAUCGCGCAUCAGCCAUGGCGCGGUGAAUACGUUCCCGGGCCUU